rnacentral:rRNA from 1 species
UACGUAGGGACCGAGCGUUGUCCGGAAUCAUUGGGCGUAAAGAGCGUGUAGGCGGCCACUUAAGUCCUGCGUGAAAUCUUGCGGCUCAACCGCAAGCGGUCGUGGGAAACUGGGUGGCUAGAGUGCGGGAGAGGAGAGUGGAAUUCCUGGUGUAGCGGUGGAAUGCGCAGAUAUCAGGAGGAACACCAAUUGCGAAGGCAGCUCGCUGGGACGUGACUGACGCUGAGACGCGAAAGCGUGGGGAGCAAACAGG